GAAAGACGGAGAUUGAAAACAACUUGUUUUUCUCCACUUCUGCUUCAACUACAAAGAGAACAUAGAUUAAUGGGAGUAAAAAAAAACUAUUAAUAAAAACCAGAAAGGUAAUAGCUUACACGGAUCUACGGAGCUGAUAUACAACGUUCACACACUUUAUCGAGUUUCAGGUAAAUUCAUGGACCUUCACCAGAUUUCAUACCUUUAAGCGAAAGAACUCAUGAAAUAGAGGAGAGAUUACAAAACAAAAGCAAAAGAAGAACACUUUUUACUUAUGCAAGCUGAGCAGGAAGAAGAUGCACACAAGCUGAUGAAGGUAAUUCAUCACCCACAACAAGAUCAAAUGGAGAUGAAGAUUGCAAAGGACCAAUAUAGACAUCCUCAGCGGUGAAAAAAGCGGAUGGAUAAAGAGCAAGAGGAUCAAUUAGGAAACAUUAGG
rnacentral:lncRNA from 1 species